rnacentral:misc_RNA from 1 species
GAUGAAGAACGUAGCGAAAUGCGAUAAGUAAUGUGAAUUGCAGAAUUCAGUGAAUCAUCGAAUCUUUGAACGCACAUUGCGCCCCCUGGUAUUCCGGGGGGCAUGCCUGUCCGAGCGUCAUUACAACCCUCAAGCUCAGCUUGGUGUUGGGCCCCGCCGCCCCGGCGGGUCUUAAAAUCAGUGGCGGUGCCGUCGGGCCCUGAGCGCAGUAAUCUCUCUCGCUAUAGGGUCCCGGCGGAUGCUGGCCAGUAACCCCCAAUUUUCUAUGGUUGACCUCGGAUCAGGUAGGGAUACCCGCUGAACUUAAGCAUAUCAAUAAGCGGAGGA